rnacentral:rRNA from 1 species
AUACGUAGGGGACAAGCGUUAUCCGGAUUUACUGGGUGUAAAGGGAGCGUAGGCGGCCAGCCAAGUCAGAAGUGAAAUCCCACGGCUCAACUGUGGGCGUGCUUUUGAAACUGGAGGGCUCGAGUACUGGAGGGGCAAGCGGAAUUCCUGGUGUAGCGGUGAAAUGCAUAGAUAUCAGGAAGAGCACCGGAGGCGAAGGCGGCUUGCGGGACAGAGACGGACGGUGAGUCUCGAAGGCGUGGGGAGCGAACAGGAUUAGAUACCCCAGUAGUGCACUCGGUAAACGAUGUAUGCUAGGCAAUGGGAACCAUAGGGUAUCGGUGCCGCAGGUAACGCAAUAAGCAUUACCCCUGGGGAGUUCGUUCGCAAGAAGGAAACUCGAAUGAAUUGACGGGG